AGCUGGGCGCAGCUGGGCGCGGAAGCGCAUCUCCGCGGGCUGCCCUGCGCCCCCGGGCCGGCCCGGCCCGGUCCGCCUCCCCGACACGCGCGGGCCGGCACCGCCCACCAUGGGCUCGGCCGCUGGGCCUGCGCAGUGGGCCGGAGUUGUGCGCCGCCGCGCCCAGAAACGGGCCUGUUUUCAGCCCGCACCGCCAAGCGCCUACUGUGUGCAAGGAGCGCGAGCGGAGGGCGCGGGGACGGGGCCAGGGAGCCCUCGCUUGGAGGACUCUUUGAAUAGUGCUCCCUAGCUGGGGCCGGUUUGCGCUGGGCUGCCUUAUGGAGCCUCACCACCUGCAGAGAUGACGAGGACCGUGCGUACACCUACUGGGUGCCGGCUUGUGCUGUGCGCCCUGGGGAGGAGAAACGUCGAGCCUGACCCCCAGGAGCUCCUGUUCUCCCCAGGGAGAGGACAGUAAACCGAUGAGAAUGACCCUAAGAGUCACUGUAAGAUUUGGACCCCUCUGGCUGCAGGUGGGCGAUGGCCUCAGGGACUGUGCAGAGGCAGGAGACCAGGGAGGCGGUGACUGCGAUAGUUCCGGUCGGAGAGGAUGGAGGGCAGACCAGGGUGACCACGGAGGAAUGUAGACGUGAUGGCAGUGCCAGAGCAGUUACCUUGGACCAUGAGGUGGAAACUGCCGGUUGAAGAUGGAAGAGCAGCUGUAAGAUAGCAAGAAUCUGAGUCCCUGAUACCACGAAGCUGAUGUGGGCUCGGCGAGCUGAGGAGUCAGAAGAAAGAUUUCUUGGAGUCUUCAGCAUGGAGCCUGCAUCUCGCCAGUGCAUCUCUUAAAAGAACGUAUGGAUGAGUGCAUGACGGGGAGCCGUGAGAUCCAGCCCUGCACCUGGAAAAAGGCACAAAGACCACACUCAAGCCUGGGUGGAAGCAUCGUCCAAAUGCAGUGGAAAAAUUUAUGGCCAGAGGAACUAGUUCCAAACCUGGCCCUUCUCCUCGCUUGCUGUGUGCCCCUGGAUAACCCACGUGCCCUCUCUGGGCCUGACACUCCUUGGUUGCAAACCAGGCUUAGCAAAUUCAUGGACUCUGUGCAAUUUAAAGAUUUUCAUUGCUCUUUGCAAUUCUAUUUCUAGAAAUCCAUUCCCAGAGAAAUUCUCACCUCACACCCCAUGAACACAGGUACAAGGAUGUAGCUUGGUUUGUGGAGUAAAACCCUGGAAAUAUCCUCAAAGGUGAUUAAUUAAACUGCGGCACAUUCA